UACGUAGGGUCCGAGCGUUGUCCGGAAUUACUGGGCGUAAAGAGCUCGUAGGUGGUUUGUCGCGUUGUCCGUGAAAACUCACAGCUCAACUGUGGGCGUGCGGGCGAUACGGGCAGACUGGAGUACUGCAGGGGAGACUGGAAUUCCUGGUGUAGCGGUGGAAUGCGCAGAUAUCAGGAAGAACACCCGUGGCGAAAGCGGCUCUCUGGAACGGUACUGACGCUGAGACGCGAAAGCGUGGGGAGCGAACAGG
rnacentral:rRNA from 1 species